UACGUAGGGUGCAAGCGUUGUCCGGAAUUAUUGGGCGUAAAGAGCUCGUAGGCGGUCUGUCGCGUCGGACGUGAAAAUCCAGGGCUCAACCCUGGACCUGCGUUCGAUACGGGCAGACUAGAGUUCGGUAGGGGAGACGUGGAAUUCCUGGUGUAGCGGUGAAAUGCGCAGAUAUCAGGAGGAACACCGGUGGCGAAGGCGGGUCUCUGGGCCACUACUGACGCUGAGAAGCGAAAGCAUGGGGAGCGAACAGG
rnacentral:rRNA from 1 species